AAUAUUUUCUUUUUAAAAAAAAGUUAUUUCUGAAAGGUUUCUAAUGGGAAAAAGCGUUGAAUAAUACUUCGUUUUGAGUGCCAAAUUACUUGCGAGUCUAUACAGCAAUUCUACAUAUGAUACGAAUACCACUAGACCAAAAAAUAGCUACGAAACAAUGUGUUUUAAUGUUUUUAAAAUAUACAUUGUCAAUUGUAAAACAUUUGCAAAAUUGCAUACAAACGUUUAAAAAGUUGUUUAUUUCUCAAGAAAACGUUCACGUUUUUAGUCGUGUUUCUACAAGAUUAAAG